UACGAAGGGGGCUAGCGUUGUUCGGAAUCACUGGGCGUAAAGGGCGCGUAGGCGGCGGUUCAAGUCGGGGGUGAAAGCCUGUGGCUCAACCACAGAAUGGCCUUCGAUACUGGACGGCUCGAGACCGGAAGAGGUCAGUGGAACUGCGAGUGUAGAGGUGAAAUUCGUAGAUAUUCGCAAGAACACCAGUGGCGAAGGCGGCUGACUGGUCCGGUUCUGACGCUGAGGCGCGAAAGCUAGGGGGGCAAACGG
rnacentral:rRNA from 1 species